rnacentral:lncRNA from 1 species
ACAAAUUAGAGGCUAGUAUAUUAAUUAAUAUAUAAAAGACAUUGUACUGUACUCAACAUAGAGCAAAGGUUGUGCUCAACUCAGCGGAUGUACAAAAAAAAAAGUCUAAUAAUAGUUCAUGAAGUAUGUAUUAAGAGAACAAAGUACAGACAGCAAAGGUUGUGCUCAACUCAAAGCUAAGCAUUUAUUUGCAUUCAUCAUAUCCUUUUUUUCCAAUGAACUAGAUCACAUACAUGUUACAAUUUUAACACACUUCAAUUCUUUUCAUUUAUUUAGCCGAACUUGAAGAUCAUUAAAACCCCAUGUCUGCUGAUUCAAGGUUCCAUAGAACAAAACUAACCCAUCAGACAAAAUUCUGAUAGCACUGAGUAUUGUUCUGUGUAACAUCAUCACAAAUCCAUAUAACAGCAGCAUAUUAAUUAGCUUCUUUUGUGCACAUUGAAUCCUCUAAUCCAAGUUCCCCAUUCAAAGCCGAGAAGGUGUGGCAUUCGUUUCCAGAAGCUUUGAGAAGUUGGUGGACAUACAUAGCUCUCAUAAUCGUCCAUACGUAGAAAGUAAGUCCCUCAAUUUCUUUGCCUCGUUAUUCAUUUUGUCAAAGCUCUUUGUAGUAGGCAUCCUCCAACCCCAGUUUCCAAACUAUAACCACCACAAUUAGUUACCAUUGAAAGCAUUUAUUCCAUUAUUGAGAAAUUUCCCUUAAAGAAAUUUUUGUUGUUCCAAACUAUAUCCACAACAAAUAGUUAGCAUCAAAAAUCAUUUAUUCCACUAGUGUGUAACAACAUACCCUACUGGAGUUGUGACAGUUGUCAGUUGCCCACUAUUUACAAAUAAUUGGGCAUAAAUAGAAGUCCAACACUCCAGAUGUUAACUACAUCAUCUUGUAAGCAAUAUUCUAAAAGACACUACGCUCAGCUGGGUAAUGAAGUGAGGUGCCAAAACAAUUAGGCAGGCUACCACAAGGCAAAUCUUAUUUCAAAAUUAUAUACAACUUUAAUAGAAACAUAUAUUUCAAAUUUAUCUAAAUCUAAUUGUACAAUGCCAACAACAUAACCUAAGCCAUAAUAUCCAUAUCACCAAUAUAUAAGUAUAUUAAAAUAAACCGAGUACACUAACACAGACGUUUGGAAAAAUGUCACAUCUGCUUUGGCAGAUCCCAACCCACCCAGGGACCUGCCUAAUAAACAAAUUUUUCCUGUAGUAGUUAUAGAGUGACUCAAAACUCCAGUUUCUGCCUAUGUACUGCCCAAGCCAUUGAUUAGAAGACUACUUGUACAUAGCGAGUGAUCCAUAUGCUUGUUUCUCUUGAUCAUAUACUUGUUUGUCCAAGAGACUCCUAAUUUAGACUCCUAAGUUAAAAUUUGAGGAGGAAGAGUAAAAGUGCUGCUCCAAGGGCUCUUAGUGGCUUCUCAAUCAUAUCACUGAGAGAUUCCCUUCACUCUUUAUUUUAGAGGGCUCUACUCCCUCUUCUAAGUUACUCCAAAGUUAUACUUUAUGAUAAACUAUUCAAGUACUCUCUUUCUCUCUUCAUUUCUAAUUGUGAUUCUGUUGCUCGAAAAUACUUCUAAAGAUGAACAAUAUAAUAGGAGUGAUUAUAAGGAUAUUGUGGAAGUUAAAUUAAAGGUAUCCAUGUCCAAAAUUAGAAAGAGCCCAUUUUUUGUUACAUAUACGGACCAGACUAGGAGUCUCUAUGCUCUGCCCCUAUAUAGAAUUUUAGNAUACUUAAUAUCUUGUGCAAAGACUUCUUAAAAUGCAUGAGAAUGAUUGUUUUUUGUGCUGUCAAGAUGUACAUCAAUGAUUGUUUUUUGUGCUGUCAAGAUGUACAUCCGCCAGAAUAUACUCUCCACAAAAAUAUGUUCUAUAUUGAGAAAUUUCCUUCAUUAAUCAAAGAAAACAUGAAAAACAUCUUUAGACAAUAAAAUUUCAAUAUCUGAAAAUAGGAAAACCCUGAUUUUGAUUUCCAAAAGCACCUGAAACAGGACUAAUAAAUAUAUUAUGAUUUAAUCAAACUUUAAAUCAUCAUCAAAAAAUUGGCCAUGCAAAAAAUUAUCAAAUGCAACAACAGUAAACAAAUAAUAAAAUAAUGUUAAAAAUUAAAUUAUAAAUAAUAAAUUUCGAACCAUUGCCGAAGCACAAAUUAGAGGCUAGUAUAUUAAUUAAUAUAUAAAAGACAUUGUACUGUACUCAACAUAGAGCAAAGGUUGUGCUCAACUCAGCGGAUGUACAAAAAAAAAAGUCUAAUAAUAGUUCAUGAAGUAUGUAUUAAGAGAACAAAGUACAGACAGCAAAGGUUGUGCUCAACUCAAAGCUAAGCAUUUAUUUGCAUUCAUCAUAUCCUUUUUUUCCAAUGAACUAGAUCACAUACAUGUUACAAUUUUAACACACUUCAAUUCUUUUCAUUUAUUUAGCCGAACUUGAAGAUCAUUAAAACCCCAUGUCUGCUGAUUCAAGGUUCCAUAGAACAAAACUAACCCAUCAGACAAAAUUCUGAUAGCACUGAGUAUUGUUCUGUGUAACAUCAUCACAAAUCCAUAUAACAGCAGCAUAUUAAUUAGCUUCUUUUGUGCACAUUGAAUCCUCUAAUCCAAGUUCCCCAUUCAAAGCCGAGAAGGUGUGGCAUUCGUUUCCAGAAGCUUUGAGAAGUUGGUGGACAUACAUAGCUCUCAUAAUCGUCCAUACGUAGAAAGUAAGUCCCUCAAUUUCUUUGCCUCGUUAUUCAUUUUGUCAAAGCUCUUUGUAGUAGGCAUCCUCCAACCCCAGUUUCCAAACUAUAACCACCACAAUUAGUUACCAUUGAAAGCAUUUAUUCCAUUAUUGAGAAAUUUCCCUUAAAGAAAUUUUUGUUGUUCCAAACUAUAUCCACAACAAAUAGUUAGCAUCAAAAAUCAUUUAUUCCACUAGUGUGUAACAACAUACCCUACUGGAGUUGUGACAGUUGUCAGUUGCCCACUAUUUACAAAUAAUUGGGCAUAAAUAGAAGUCCAACACUCCAGAUGUUAACUACAUCAUCUUGUAAGCAAUAUUCUAAAAGACACUACGCUCAGCUGGGUAAUGAAGUGAGGUGCCAAAACAAUUAGGCAGGCUACCACAAGGCAAAUCUUAUUUCAAAAUUAUAUACAACUUUAAUAGAAACAUAUAUUUCAAAUUUAUCUAAAUCUAAUUGUACAAUGCCAACAACAUAACCUAAGCCAUAAUAUCCAUAUCACCAAUAUAUAAGUAUAUUAAAAUAAACCGAGUACACUAACACAGACGUUUGGAAAAAUGUCACAUCUGCUUUGGCAGAUCCCAACCCACCCAGGGACCUGCCUAAUAAACAAAUUUUUCCUGUAGUAGUUAUAGAGUGACUCAAAACUCCAGUUUCUGCCUAUGUACUGCCCAAGCCAUUGAUUAGAAGACUACUUGUACAUAGCGAGUGAUCCAUAUGCUUGUUUCUCUUGAUCAUAUACUUGUUUGUCCAAGAGACUCCUAAUUUAGACUCCUAAGUUAAAAUUUGAGGAGGAAGAGUAAAAGUGCUGCUCCAAGGGCUCUUAGUGGCUUCUCAAUCAUAUCACUGAGAGAUUCCCUUCACUCUUUAUUUUAGAGGGCUCUACUCCCUCUUCUAAGUUACUCCAAAGUUAUACUUUAUGAUAAACUAUUCAAGUACUCUCUUUCUCUCUUCAUUUCUAAUUGUGAUUCUGUUGCUCGAAAAUACUUCUAAAGAUGAACAAUAUAAUAGGAGUGAUUAUAAGGAUAUUGUGGAAGUUAAAUUAAAGGUAUCCAUGUCCAAAAUUAGAAAGAGCCCAUUUUUUGUUACAUAUACGGACCAGACUAGGAGUCUCUAUGCUCUGCCCCUAUAUAGAAUUUUAGGGACACAUGCAGAUCUCUUCAUGUUGUAAGAAACUCAGGACCAAAACGAGAAUGAUAAUGCAUUCUAGAUAUACUCUUUCAGUUCUAACAGAAGAGAUCUACUCUAAUAUUAAGCUUGCAAUAUUUUGGCAAUUAACCCGAUUACAAUAUGGUGUCAUCAGACGGUAACAAUAACAAACAGACUCUGUAAAGGAUUAGUCUUAUUUUGCAUAUGGGAAACGUGUGUAUAAAUAAGUAUAACUGUGCAAAUAACCCCAAGCAUGUUUGAAAAAUAGUGACUUGGUAAAAUGCGCAC